UUCAGAGUAGGUGUCCGGGCGUUAAGUGCCGGAGGGACGGGGAGUUGCCCUUCGGACGAAAACAAAGCUGUUGCGGUCCGGAUUCCGCAUCCCGCUGGU
rfam:Firmicutes bacterium CAG:272 genomic scaffold, scf242